UACUCCGCAAAUUGCACAAGCUGUAAGUAUAACAUCAAGCACCAAAGCAUGGCUUCGUUUCGCCUGAACGCAGUUUUAUUGUUGUUGAUCUUCACCUAUCUUACUUUGACACAUGCCAAUACUAAUUGAAAAGGCCUGAAAGGUGGCUCUCUGCAAAGCCCGUGCCGCACACGAUUGAACAAACGGCAGGCCAGAGCAGUUUUCAACGAUGUUGUUGAUGAAUCGCGUCAGGAACUAAAGGUUGAAAGAAAGAGAGACGUAGGGAGUCAAGAUGAAAUUAUUGAACGGUUCGUUGCAAUGAAGAAAUAGAAGCCACCUCAACAAGAGACUGUAGAAG